rnacentral:tRNA from 1 species
GUGGGUGUAGCUCAGUGGCAAAAUACAGGCUUAGCAUGCUUGAGGUCCUGGGUUCAAUUCCCAGUAACUCCA